rnacentral:rRNA from 1 species
AUUGAACGCUGGCGGCAUGCUUUACACAUGCAAGUCGAACGGCAGCGCGGGCUUCGGCCUGGCGGCGAGUGGCGAACGGGUGAGUAAUGCAUCGGAACGUGCCCAGUAGUGGGGGAUAGCCCGGCGAAAGCCGGAUUAAUACCGCAUACGACCUGAGGGUGAAAGCGGGGGACCGAAAGGCCUCGCGCUAUUGGAGCGGCCGAUGUCGGAUUAGCUAGUUGGUGGGGUAAAGGCUUACCAAGGCGACGAUCCGUAGCUGGUCUGAGAGGACGACCAGCCACACUGGGACUGAGACACGGCCCAGACUCCUACGGGAGGCAGCAGUGGGGAAUUUUGGACAAUGGGGGCAACCCUGAUCCAGCCAUGCCGCGUGCGGGAAGAAGGCCUUCGGGUUGUAAACCGCUUUUGUUCGGGAAGAAAUCCUCUGGGCUAAUACCCCGGGGCAAUGACGGUACCGGAAGAAUAAGCACCGGCUAACUACGUG